rnacentral:rRNA from 1 species
AUUGAACGCUGGCGGCAUGCUUUACACAUGCAAGUCGAACGGCAGCGCGGGCUUCGGCCUGGCGGCGAGUGGCGAACGGGUGAGUAAUGCAUCGGAACGUGCCCAGUAGUGGGGGAUAGCCCGGCGAAAGCCGGAUUAAUACCGCAUACGACCUGAGGGUGAAAGCGGGGGACCGAAAGGCCUCGCGCUAUUGGAGCGGCCGAUGUCGGAUUAGCUAGUUGGUGGGGUAAAGGCUUACCAAGGCGACGAUCCGUAGCUGGUCUGAGAGGACGACCAGCCACACUGGGACUGAGACACGGCCCAGACUCCUACGGGAGGCAGCAGUGGGGAAGUUUGGACAAUGGGGCCAACCCUGAUCCAGCCAUGCCGCGUGCGGGAAGAAGGCCUUCGGGUUGUAAACCGCUUUUGUUCGGGAAGAAAUCCUCUGGGCUAAUACCCCGGGGGGAUGACGGUACCGGAAGAAUAAGCACCGGCUAACUACGUG